UCGGUGUCCUCAUCUAUAAAAUGAGCUAUUGAACUACGCACUUGGCAGGACUUUGCCCUAAAGAUCAUUUUCAAAAUAAAAUAUAUAUAUAUAUGCCACUUCCCUUUUCCCACAUUAACCCUGAGAGACAAAGAGGAAGCGGGAAGCCAGCACAUGGAAGCAAUUUAUUGCAGACGUUCCUGGGUUGGGAGAGGAGCCUUCUGACUGCUGCAGAGACCUUUACCGGAGGUGCGGAGAACUGCUGCGGGGCUCGGCGCGCACCGGGUUCCGGGGUGUUCACGGGCGGCGCUGCCUCUGCGCGCGCAGGACGGGAGUCGCCGGAGGACCGGUGGUGGAUUCCCUCCCCGCAUCCCUCCUUUGCGUCCAAAGUCAAAUUGCUCUUUUCUCCGCCCACGCGGGCGUGGCGGCUGAUAUCCGGCCGCUGGGCGUCCCUGCGCCCCCGGGGGCCCCGCCCUGCCGCUAUCUCCGCAGCCCACCCCGCGGCGCCUCCCUGCAGAGCUGCUCCCCCGCCCAAACCGCCGCGGCGCGACGCCGAGCCAGCCCCGCGAAGCUGCACCCACCCCUGAGGACCAGCCCCUCGAAGGCAGGGCCAGCACCUCCCCGGGCUGCUGCAGCCGUGAGCCACCCCUGUUUUGUGAAACACACACUCUAACGUUUCAGGCCGCACUUGCCCGUUGCCAUGGGCGUUUUCUGUGUUGACACAAGCAGGGACUCGGAAUCCCUUGACUUUGAGUUGCAGAUCGUGGGUGUUGGCGUCUCCGCUGCGUUACCAGGAAGGAUGGAAGGGGCUUUAGCCUCCAUCCUCACUUUCCUUCUCAAAGAGUUGGCUGAGCACCCAGAGUUUUCUCUUUGGCUUGUCUCAGGUCCCCUUUCCCUGAGAGGUGAAAAGUUUUUCGGAAAGGUGAGCGCUUUCUGUUUAUUCCUAGGGGCCACUUCACACACUCCUUUUUCACCUCCAGAGUAGAUGGAACCGUGGAACCAUGGAACCCUGCCCUCUGGUUGUGUCUGUCAUCUCCUACUGGGACCAGAGCCACAAAAGACCUAACUCUCUCCAGCGUGCAGGCAUCCCAACUAGAAGAAGCAAGGAGGCAGAGACCAAGAGGACAUCAAGAGGCGUUUGAACCCACAGAGAGGGCCUGGAACACAAUGCUGAGCGUGGGCCCAACCACUGCUUCUCAGCGGGGUGGGAGAGUGGCGUGGGGAGAGUUGUGGGCAUUUAGGGCAGGACAGUGCCCCGCCCUCGGCUUGGGACCGGGCUGCAUUGCAUCAUCACUGUAACCACUAGCCGCCCCCGCCCUCACAACCCCUGUGUAUGAAAUGCAAGUAGCACCUCCCCGUCGUUGUGACAACCCAAAAUGCCACCUCCUAUGCCCAAGCACUCUCUAAUGAGGUGUUUCCUUAGGUUGAAAACCACUGUUAGAUGAUUUCCUAAAAUAUAUCUCAAAAGAUCAAUUAGUUCCUUAAGAUAUAAGUAGGUGUUAUAUGAAAAGAGUAGCAUGCUAAUAUCAGUAUCAUGCUGAGUUUGGGAAAUGGUGGGUUAAAAAGUGGAGCAGGAUUUACUUACAGGACUUCUCAGAACCUUUAAUAUGUAUAAAUAUAUGUUUUGAAUCACCAAGAGAGAGAUGGACUAUGCGGAUCCCCAAAUUUAAUUGGCCCCGGAAUUCUUUCUUUGUAGGACCCUUUUAGGUGCAGCGUAUCUUAGAUACCUCUGAACUACAUUCUGUCGUCCAGGGCACUCUCUGGGGACUUCUGUAUCCUCCCCAGUGUGAAGUGCAGGAGUGAGCAGUCAAAAGGCCCUUAUGUUUUUACUGAAUUGAAACACCUAGAAUGUGUGAAGAUACCAGGAAGGAGGCCAGAGCUUCAGGAAACCGCUGCAAAGAUGACCUCACAAAGAAAUCAUUGUGGCAGGGCCCCUGGCGCACUCAAGGUGAGGUGACGUGUCCUGCUCCUGAGAGCACGCAGCCCUGCUGGCGCCUUGGGCUUGCAUGGCUCAGGGAAAGGAAAAUAGCCUGGGUGUUUGGAAGAGAAGUAUGUGUGGAUGGAAUUACUCAAAUGCUGAUGGAUGGAUUGGGUCUCCUGUCCUGCUGGCCUGGCAGCCUCUGUGUGGAAGGCUUUGCCCAGGAGAUGGGUCACAGCAGCUCUGGUGAGAUGCUGGAAACAUAAGCCCAGGCAGAUAUAAUGGCAGUGAGUCACAGUAAACCAACAACCAUCAGGUGCUCAGGAGGGAAGCUGAAACCAGGGGACUCGCUGUGCUGAGCUAAGCGAGGAGCAGGACUCUCCUGUUGUGCAAAACACAAAGAGCAGAGUGUUCAAGUCCAAGGAUCAGGUUCCUCCAAAUGGAAGCCCAAGCUGUGCGCACUGAGCUCCAGGGCUGGCGAUACAAUCACCUGCCUCUGCCCAUGCAGGAGGGUACCACCCAAACAUACCCAUUUCUCCUGGGGCAUGGGCAGGGGCCAGGGGAGACAGGGCCCUACCACUUCCUGUGUAAAACUGAGUGAGCAGCCCAGCGCCCAUCAGGGUCGAAGCACCUCACCUGCACCCCCCAGCCUUGUAAUUUGGGCUCUGCUCACCACGUGCUCUGUGCUAGUGAAACUGCCCUCUGAGCAGAAAUAAACUGUUGGCUCUUAAGUUUUUCCAGAUUAACCAGACUGGCCAAUGCCUGAGGCUCUGCGUUCAAGAUAAAAGUGCCUAAGAAAGGAAAAAAAAGUGCAAGUAGGCAGUCCCCACUUCUCCAGGGCUGGCGGGCUCUGAGGAUCCUGCCUUAGCCUGCUGAGCAGCCCAGAGUGGCUUUAAGAAAAAAAAAAAAAAGCCUGAACAAUUUUUUUUUGCACAUGGGUCACAGUCAAGCUUCUUAAACUUGGAUGACAGUAAACCUAUGACUAACUGGAUAAUUAAAGCCACAAGUCUGGAGGCCUGGGCAGGGCUCUGCUCUGGAAUCUCCGGUGGCCUGUUCUAUAGGCCAGCGUCCGUUGUCCUCCCCAUAGCACAAAUGCUUUUGUGAGUUGGAAACCCUCUGUGGUGACCUCUCCGUCUUCUCAAGGUCAGUUCUCCACUUGUCCAUGGCUUCAUGCCCCCACCCUGCAUCCCUGUCCACUGCAUGGAAGGAGGAAAUCUAACCCACCGGCCACAGUGCAGCCCACACUCCCCACCCUGCCCCGACAGGAACAUGACAGAAGGUUUCCAACUAAAACCAAAGUUACUCAGCAAAGCUUCCUGCCAGGCAGCCAUGCUGGAGGGCGCAGCGUGCCUCUCUCUGCUCUAUCUGUUUUAUGAAACUUCUCUGCUGCAAGCACUUGAGAGCCUCCCGGCUUCCUGGGGAGAGUGGACUGAACUUCAAAGCAGACACCGCUGCAGCUAAGAAGCCCCUGGGUUGCUUCAAAGACUGUCUCUUCCCAGUCUGAAGCUUCUGGUGAAUGUUUCUCCCUCAUUUCUGAAACAACAGAUAGAGCUACUGAAGUUUACAACAUCCCCCAAGGCAUUUCUGUGUUUCUGCCUUUAAUCUAGGGCCCAAGUGACCACCCACAAGAAUGCCCUGAACCCUGACUGCCUCAGGAUGCAUCCUGCAGUUUACAUUCCCAUGGUGCCUCCGCCUCCACUCCAGCCGCCUCUCUGGCCACCCCUGCCCCCUCCCUUCUCUCCAUCAUGCCAAAAAGUGCCCUCGUCCUCUGAUGGUGGACGAGAGGAUUCGGUUAGGAGUCAGGAUGGUCUAUGUGAUUUUUGUACACUAUUCCAGAAUAGGUGUGUGGUUGCUUUAAAAAUAAAAAGAAAUGUGUCUUCCAAA